GAUGAACGCUGGCGGCGUGCCUAAUACAUGCAAGUCGAGCGAACAGAUAAGGAGCUUGCUCCUUUGAAGUUAGCGGCGGACGGGUGAGUAACACGUGGGUAACCUACCUAUAAGACUGGGAUAACUUCGGGAAACCGGAGCUAAUACCGGAUAACAUUUAGAACCGCAUGGUUCUAAAGUGAAAGAUGGUUUUGCUAUCACUUAUAGAUGGACCCGCGCCGUAUUAGCUAGUUGGUAAGGUAACGGCUUACCAAGGCGACGAUGCGUAGCCGACCUGAGAGGGUGAUCGGCCACACUGGAACUGAGACACGGUCCAGACUCCUACGGGAGGCAGCAGUAGGGAAUCUUGCGCAAUGGGCGAAAGCCUGACGGAGCAACGCCGCGUGAGUGAUGAAGGGUUUCGGCUCGUAAAACUCUGUUAUUAGGGAAGAACAAAUGUGUAAGUAACUGUGCACAUCUUGACGGUACCUAAUCAGAAAGCCACGGCUAACUACGUG
rnacentral:rRNA from 1 species